CCUACGGGAGGCAGCAGUGGGGGAUAUUGCACAAUGGGGGAAACCCUGAUGCAGCGACGCCGCGUGGGCGAAGAAGUAUUUCGGUAUGUAAAGCCCUAUCAGCAGGGACGAAGAAAUGACGGUACCCGAGUAAGAUGCAUCGGCUAAAGAGGGGCCAGCAGCCGCGGUAAUACGUAUGGUGCAAGCGUUAUCCGGCUUUACUGGGUGUAAAGGGAGCGCAGGCGGCACGGCAAGCCUGAUGUGAAAGCCCGCGGCCCAACCGAGGGACUGCAUUGGGAACUGCCGGGCUGGAGUGCCGGAGAGGUCGGCGGAAUUCCUAGUGUAGCGGUGAAAUGCGUAGAUAUUAGGAGGAACACCAGUGGCGAAGGCGGCCUACUGGACGGUGACUGACGCUGAGGCUCGAAAGCGUGGGGAGCAAACAGGAUUAGAUACCCCUGUAGUC
rnacentral:rRNA from 1 species